AGUGAACGCUGGCGGUAGGCCUAACACAUGCAAGUCGAACGGCAGCACAGUAAGAGCUUGCUCUUACGGGUGGCGAGUGGCGGACGGGUGAGGAAUACAUCGGAAUCUACUUUUUCGUGGGGGAUAACGUAGGGAAACUUACGCUAAUACCGCAUACGACCUACGGGUGAAAGCAGGGGAUCUUCGGACCUUGCGCGAUUGAAUGAGCCGAUGUCGGCUUAGCUAGUUGGCGGGGUAAAGGCCCACCAAGGCGACGAUCCGUAGCUGGUCUGAGAGGAUGAUCAGCCACACUGGACCUGAGACACGGUCCAGACUCCUACAGGAGGCAACAGUGGGGAAUAUUAGACAAUGGGCGCAAGCCUGAUCCAGCCAUACCGCGUGGGUGAAGAAGGCCUUCGGGUUGGACAGCCCUUUUGUUGGGAAAUAAAAGCAGCAGGUUAAUACCCCGCUGUUCUGACGGUACCCAAAGAAUAAGCACCGGCUAACUUCGUG
rnacentral:rRNA from 1 species